rnacentral:rRNA from 1 species
UUGAUUCCAAACUGGGCGAAAUUGUUGCUGGUCUCUCGGGACAUGUGCACGUUUCGUUCGCAAACCUCUCAUACCCCUGUGCACUUUUCAUAGGAUCGCUCGCGGCUGUUGGCCUCCCCGGCUAGUGGCUGCAGCUGUCCUGUGUUAUAUCUGUAUAAACUCGUUGUCAGUUUAGAAUGUCUAUCUUGUGUAUAUGCACAUUGAAAUACAACUUUCAGCAACGGAUCUCUUGGCUCUCGCAUCGAUGAAGAACGCAGCGAAAUGCGAUAAGUAAUGUGAAUUGCAGAAUUCAGUGAAUCAUCGAAUCUUUGAACGCACCUUGCGCUCCUUGGUAUUCCGAGGAGCAUGCCUGUUUGAGUGUCAUGUUAUUCUCGAUUCCUCUGUUCUCUUUUGAACGGGGUGAUAUCGGACUUGGAGGUAUAUUGCUGGCGAUACCGAGUCAGCUCCUCUCAAAAGUAUCAGUGUGAAGGGUCGCUUUAUGCUCAAUGUGAUAAUUAUCUGCAUUGCGCGGAGCGAUGUUGUUUCAUGCUUCCAAUCGUCUUCGGACAAAUGCAAUCAACAUCUGACCUCAAAUCAGGUAGGACUACCCGCUGAACUUAAGCAUAUCA